rnacentral:rRNA from 1 species
CACGUAGGCACCAAGCGUUGUCCGGAUUUAUUGGGCGUAAAGCGCUCGUAGGCGGUUCGGUAAGUCGGGUGUGAAACCUCCAGGCUCAACCUGGAGACGCCACCCGAUACUGCUGUGACUAGAGUCCGGUAGGGGAGCGUGGAAUUCCGGGUGUAGCGGUGAAAUGCGCAGAUAUCAGGAGGAACACCAGCGGCGAAGGCGGCGCUCUGGGCCGGAACUGACGCUGAGGAGCGAAAGCGUGGGGAGCAAACAGG